AAUAGAUACCCUGGUAGUCCACGCCGUAAACGAUGAGUGCUAAGUGUUAGGGGGUUUCCGCCCCUUAGUGCUGCAGCUAACGCAUUAAGCACUCCGCCUGGGGAGUACGGUCGCAAGACUGAAACUCAAAGGAAUUGACGGGGGCCCGCACAAGCGGUGGAGCAUGUGGUUUAAUUCGAAGCAACGCGAAAAACCUUACCAGGUCUUGACAUCCUCUGACAAUCCUAGAGAUAGGACGUCCCCUUCGGGGGCAGAGUGACAGGUGGUGCAUGGUUGUCGUCAGCUCGUGUCGUGAGAUGUUGGGUUAAGUCCCGCAACGAGCGCAACCCUUGAUCUUAGUUGCCAGCAUUCAGUUGGGCACUCUAAGGUGACUGCCGGUGACAAACCGGAGGAAGGUGGGGAUGACGUCAAAUCAUCAUGCCCCUUAUGACCUGGGCUACACACGUGCUACAAUGGACAGAACAAAGGGCAGCGAAACCGCGAGGUUAAGCCAAUCCCACAAAUCUGUUCUCAGUUCGGAUCGCAGU
rnacentral:rRNA from 1 species